rnacentral:rRNA from 1 species
UGGGGGAUAUUGCACAAUGGGCGAAAGCCUGAUGCAGCGACGCCGCGUGGGGGAUGAAGGCCUUCGGGUUGUAAACUUCUUUUGCUCUGAACAAGGCGCACCAUGGGGUGUGUUGAGUGUAGGGGUUGAUUAGCGCCGGCUAACUACGUGCCAGCAGCCGCGGUAAGACGUAGGGCGCGAGCGUUGUCCGGAAUUAUGGGGCGUAAAGGGCUUGUAGGUGUCUGGUUGCGUCUGUCGUGAAAGCUCAUGGCUUAACUGUGGGUUGGCGGUGGGUACGGGCUGGCUUGAGUGCAGUAGGGGAGGCUGGAAUUCCUGGUGUAGCGGUGGAAUGCGCAGAUAUCAGGAGGAAUACCGGUGGCGAAGGCGGGUCUCUGGGCUGUUACUGACACUGAGGAGCGAAAGCAUGGGGAGCGAACAGG